rnacentral:rRNA from 1 species
CCUACGGGGGGCAGCAGUGGGGAAUAUUGGACAAAGGGGGCAACCCUGAUCCAGCCAUGCCGCGUGUGUGAAGAAGGCCCUCGGGUUGUAAAGCACUUUCAGUGAGGAAGAACGCCUGGUGGUUAAUACCCAUCAGGAAAGACAUCACUCACAGAAGAAGCACCGGCUAACUCCGUGCCAGCAGCCGCGGUAAUACGGAGGGUGCGAGCGUUAAUCGGAAUUACUGGGCGUAAAGCGCGCGUAGGUGGCUUGAUAAGCCGGUUGUGAAAGCCCCGGGCUCAACCUGGGAACGGCAUCCGGAACUGUCAAGCUAGAGUGCAGGAGAGGAAGGUAGAAUUCCCGGUGUAGCGGUGAAAUGCGUAGAGAUCGGGAGGAAUACCAGUGGCGAAGGCGGCCUUCUGGACUGACACUGACACUGAGGUGCGAAAGCGUGGGUAGCAAACAGGAUUAGAUACCCCGGUAGUC